CAACCUGCCGAUAACUCGGGGAUAGCCUUUCGAAAGAAAGAUUAAUACCCGAUGGUAUAAUCAGACCGCAUGGUUUGAUUAUUAAAGAAUUUCGGUUAUCGAUGGGGAUGCGUUCCAUUAGGCAGUUGGUGAGGUAACGGCUCACCAAACCUUCGAUGGAUAGGGGUCCUGAGAGGAAGGUCCCCCACAUUGGAACUGAGACACGGUCCAAACUCCUACGGGAGGCAGCAGUGAGGAAUAUUGGUCAAUGGGCGAGAGCCUGAACCAGCCAAGUAGCGUGAAGGAUGACUGCCCUAUGGGUUGUAAACUUCUUUUAUAAAGGAAUAAAGUCGGGUAUGGAUACCCGUUUGCAUGUGCUUUAUGAAUAAGGAUCGGCUAACUCCGUGCCAGCAGCCGCGGUAAUACGGAGGAUCCGAGCGUUAUCCGGAUUUAUUGGGUUUAAAGGGAGCGUAGGCGGAUUGUUAAGUCAGUUGUGAAAGUUUGCGGCUCAACCGUAAAAUUGCAGUUGAUACUGGCAGUCUUGAGUGCAGUAGAGGUGGGCGGAAUUCGAGGUGUAGCGGUGAAAUGCUUAGAUAUCACGAAGAACUCCGAUUG
rnacentral:rRNA from 1 species